rnacentral:lncRNA from 1 species
AUUUCUCGACUUGCAUUUAAUGUUGUUUCAAUGUUGCAUUUUAUAUUAAAGUUCAUUCGGUUAUGUUAAUUUAAAUGUUAUGUUAGCUUAAGUUAGUUGUGUUGGAUUAGAGGUUAGAGUAGUCUCUUUGUUGUGUUAAUUUGUGAUUUGAAGCAUAGUAAUUAAGUUAAUGACCAACCGUUUCCAUUCUGUCUUUGAAAUCGUUUUUAGAUAUGUUUUUAAGUAGUUGUUUGCAUCUGUGUUUUAAUUUAAUUCAUCUGCAUUCACAAACCUUUUCAAC